ensembl:lncRNA
CGCCCCCCCGUUACUCGGCACACGCUUCGAAGCCUCGGCACGCCUCGUAACAUCACUAUCUGGUAGCAUCUCUGGCUGCUGUUGACCUUGUUUUUGGAGGAAAACACGGUGGAAGCUGAAUUAGUGAGGAUGACUCCUGCUCCUGUCAUCUCUAAGCUCCUCACACAUCUUUACCUGCACAUGAGGAAAAUCACUCCUGUAGAAUGCAGAUGUUCAGAGGGAGAUGAUGCCACAUCUGGUCCAGCUGAUGGAAGGUCUUGAAGUUCUCUGACUGGCCUCGACUGAAGAUGGUCGUCUCACUGGAUUUAAGAUGCACAAUGAGGGACGUCUGCAGAGACUGAGAAAGAGUCUCACCACAUCCUGACAUGAGGAAAAAGACUUUAUUGAAGACUACAAUGAGAAAAACUAUCAGACAGCAGACGGCUGCAUUCAAGGUGAGCUCUGAACAUUUGAUCUGGAACAGGAAUUCAAUAACGGCAGCAUGAGCUUCAUUUCAGUCUGUAGCUGCUGAAUUCAUGGAUGAAUCAUCUGGCACUAGAGAAGAAGACCAUCAAACAUCCACGUCAGCUGAUGGAGGUCCAAGAGUCUCACCCAACAAACAACCGACAGAGUGAAGACCUCGAAUCUGAUUGGACGGCCUCCUAUUCAGCCACAUUUUAGGCUGUUAGAUUGUUCCAGAUAAGACAAGUACAAGAUUCUUCAGAGCCGUUCUACCACGAGCCUGACAGGAAGAACUCCAACAGCUACUGAAUGUUCCUGUGGUUCCCUCAAGGCUACAGGAGGAGUCCUACGAGGACGAGCCGGUCCACCUGAUGGCGGCCAGUCGCUGCGGUUCAAAGCCAACACCGACUACGUGGACUUCUACUGGACCACACGGAGGCCUUCAAACCGGACCAACAAGUUCACCGACUCCCCGACUUGUGGGUCUGAGGACGCCGCCGAGCCUCGGUCCAGCCGGCC